AUUGAACGCUGGCGGCAGGCCUAACACAUGCAAGUCGAACGGUAACAGGAAGAAGCUUGCUUCUUUGCUGACGAGUGGCGGACGGGUGAGUAAUGUCUGGGAAACUGCCUGAUGGAGGGGGAUAACUAUUGGAAACGGUAGCUAAUACCGCAUAACGUCGCAAGACCAAAGAGGGGGACCUUCGGGCCUCUUGCCAUCGGAUGUGCCCAGAUGGGAUUAGCUAGUAGGUGGGGUAACGGCUCACCUAGGCGACGAUCCCUAGCUGGUCUGAGAGGAUGACCAGCCACACUGGAACUGAGACACGGUCCAGACUCCUACGGGAGGCAGCAGUGGGGAAUAUUGCACAAUGGGCGCAAGCCUGAUGCAGCCAUGCCGCGUGUAUGAAGAAGGCCUUCGGGUUGUAAAGUACUUUCAGCGGGGAGGAAGGGAGUAAAGUUAAUACCUUUGCUCAUUGACGUUACCCGCAGAAGAAGCACCGGCUAACUCCGUG
rnacentral:rRNA from 1 species